rnacentral:rRNA from 1 species
GGAAGUAAAAGUCGUAACAAGGUUUCCGUAGGUGAACCUGCGGAAGGAUCAUUACCUAGAGUUGUAGGCUUUGCCUGCUAUCUCUUACCCAUGUCUUUUGAGUACCUUACGUUUCCUCGGUGGGUUCGCCCACCGAUUGGACAAAUUUAAACCCUUUGCAGUUGAAAUCAGCGUCUGAAAAAACUUAAUAGUUACAACUUUCAACAACGGAUCUCUUGGUUCUGGCAUCGAUGAAGAACGCAGCGAAGUGCGAUAAGUAGUGUGAAUUGCAGAAUUCAGUGAAUCAUCGAAUCUUUGAACGCACAUUGCGCCCCUUGGUAUUCCAUGGGGCAUGCCUGUUCGAGCGUCAUUUGUACCUUCAAGCUCUGCUUGGUGUUGGGUGUUUGUCUCCUGUAGACUCGCCUUAAAACAAUUGGCAGCCGGCGUAUUGAUUUCGGAGCGCAGUACAUCUCGCGCUUUGCACUCAUAACGACGACAUCCAAAAGUACAUUUUUACACUCUUGACCUCGGAUCAGGUAGGGAUACCCGCUGAACUUAAGCAUAUCAAUAAGCGGAGGA